CCGAACCGACUAAUGUUGAAAAAUUAGCGGAUGACCUGUGGCUGGGGGUGAAAGGCCAAUCAAACCGGGAGAUAGCUGGUUCUCCCCGAAAGCUAUUUAGGUAGCGCCUCGUGAAUUCAUCUCCGGGGGUAGAGCACUGUUUCGGCUAGGGGGCCAUCCCGGCUUACCAACCCGAUGCAAACUGCGAAUACCGGAGAAUGUUAUCACGGGAGACACACGGCGGGUGCUAACGUCCGUCGUGAAGAGGGAAACAACCCAGACCGCCAGCUAAGGUCCCAAAGUCAUGGUUAAGUGGGAAACGAUGUGGGAAGGCCCAGACAGCCAGGAUGUUGGCUUAGAAGCAGCCAUCAUUUAAAGAAAGCGUAAUAGCUCACUGGUCGAGUCGGCCUGCGCGGAAGAUGUAACGGGGCUAAACCAUGCACCGAAGCUGCGGCAGCGAACGUAUCACUUAAAGCGAUUCAGCGGGUUACGAUUGACGGAGCGAAGCGACGUCAAAGCGUAUACAAAGUCGAGUCGGUUUAAGGAUACGUUCGUUGGGUAGGGGAGCGUUCUGUAAGCCUGUGAAGGUGGCCUGUGAGGGUUGCUGGAGGUAUCAGAAGUGCGAAUGCUGACAUAAGUAACGAUAAAGCGGGUGAAAAGCCCGCUCGCCGGAAGACCAAGGGUUCCUGUCCAACGUUAAUCGGGGCAGGGUGAGUCGACCCCUAAGGCGAGGCCGAAAGGCGUAGUCGAUGGGAAACGGGUUAAUAUUCCCGUACUUGGUGUUACUGCGAAGGGGGGACGGAGAAGGCUAUGUUGGCCGGGCGACGGUUGUCCCGGUUUAAGCGUGUAGGUGUGUGUUCCAGGUAAAUCCGGUUCACUUUAACACUGAGGCGUGACGACGAGGCACUACGGUGCUGAAGCAACAAAUGCCCUGCUUCCAGGAAAAGCCUCUAAGCAUCAGGUAACAUCAAAUCGUACCCCAAACCGACACAGGUGGUCAGGUAGAGAAUACCAAGGCGCUUGAGAGAACUCGGGUGAAGGAACUAGGCAAAAUGGUGCCGUAACUUCGGGAGAAGGCACGCUGACACGUAGGUGAAGUGAUUUACUCACGGAGCUGAAGUCAGUCGAAGAUACCAGCUGGCUGCAACUGUUUAUUAAAAACACAGCACUGUGCAAACACGAAAGUGGACGUAUACGGUGUGACGCCUGCCCGGUGCCGGAAGGUUAAUUGAUGGGGUCAGCGCAAGCGAAGCUCCUGAUCGAAGCCCCGGUAAACGGCGGCCGUAACUAUAACGGUCCUAAGGUAGCGAAAUUCCUUGUCGGGUAAGUUCCGACCUGCACGAAUGGCGUAAUGAUGGCCAGGCUGUCUCCACCCGAGACUCAGUGAAAUUGAACUCGCUGUGAAGAUGCAGUGUACCCGCGGCAAGACGGAAAGACCCCGUGAACCUUUACUAUAGCUUGACACUGAACAUUGAGCCUUGAUGUGUAGGAUAGGUGGGAGGCUUUGAAGUGUGGACGCCAGUCUGCAUGGAGCCGACCUUGAAAUACCACCCUUUAAUGUUUGAUGUUCUAACGUGGACCCGUAAUCCGGGUUGCGGACAGUGUCUGGUGGGUAGUUUGACUGGGGCGGUCUCCUCCUAAAGAGUAACGGAGGAGCACGAAGGUUGGCUAAUCCUGGUCGGACAUCAGGAGGUUAGUGCAAUGGCAUAAGCCAGCUUGACUGCGAGCGUGACGGCGCGAGCAGGUGCGAAAGCAGGUCAUAGUGAUCCGGUGGUUCUGAAUGGAAGGGCCAUCGCUCAACGGAUAAAAGGUACUCCGGGGAUAACAGGCUGAUACCGCCCAAGAGUUCAUAUCGACGGCGGUGUUUGGCACCUCGAUGUCGGCUCAUCACAUCCUGGGGCUGAAGUAGGUCCCAAGGGUAUGGCUGUUCGCCAUUUAAAGUGGUACGCGAGCUGGGUUUAGAACGUCGUGAGACAGUUCGGUCCCUAUCUGCCGUGGGCGCUGGAGAACUGAGGGGGGCUGCUCCUAGUACGAGAGGACCGGAGUGGACGCAUCACUGGUGUUCGGGUUGUCAUGCCAAUGGCACUGCCCGGUAGCUAAAUGCGGAAGAGAUAAGUGCUGAAAGCAUCUAAGCACGAAACUUGCCCCGAGAUGAGUUCUCCCUGAGACUUAGAGUCUCCUGAAGGAACGUUGAAGACGACGACGUUGAUAGGCCGGGUGUGUAAGCGCAGCGAUGCGUUGAGCUAACCGGUACUAAUGAACCGUGAGGCUUAACCUUACA
rnacentral:rRNA from 1 species